UACGUAGGGUGCGAGCGUUGUCCGGAAUUAUUGGGCGUAAAGGGCUCGUAGGCGGUCUGUUGCGUCAGGAGUGAAAACUCGGGGCUUAACCCCGAGCCUGCUUCUGAUACGGGCAGACUAGAGGUAUGCAGGGGAGAACGGAAUUCCUGGUGUAGCGGUGAAAUGCGCAGAUAUCAGGAGGAACACCGGUGGCGAAGGCGGUUCUCUGGGCAUUACCUGACGCUGAGGUGCGAAAGCGUGGGGAGCGAACAGG
rnacentral:rRNA from 1 species